rnacentral:rRNA from 1 species
UACGUAGGGGGCUAGCGUUGUCCGGAAUCAUUGGGCGUAAAGCGCGUGUAGGCGGUCCGAUAAGUCCGCUGUGAAAGUCGAGGGCUCAACCCUCGAAUGCCGGUGGAUACUGUCGGGCUUGAGUACGGGAGAGGCGGGUGGAAUUCCUGGUGUAGCGGUGAAAUGCGCAGAUAUCAGGAGGAACACCGAUUGCGAAGGCAGCUCGCUGGAACGUUACUGACGCUGAGACGCGAAAGCGUGGGGAGCAAACAGG